ensembl:lncRNA
CAUACAAUCCAUAAUACAGUAGAAAAAUCUAUAUACAGUAUGUGCAAAUGAGGUAGGAUAAGAGUGGUAAGGCAAUAAAUAGGCCAUGGUGGCGAAGUAAUUACGAUAUAGCAAUUAAACACUGGAAUGGUAGGAUGUGCAGAAGAUGGAUGUGCAAGUAGAGAUACUGGGGUGCAAAGGGAGCAAGAUAAAUAAUUAAAUACAGUAUGGGGAUGAGGUAAUUGGAUGGGCUAUUUACAGAUGAGCUAUGUACAGGUGCAGUGAUCUGUGAGCUGCUCUGACAGCUGGUGCUUAAAGCUAGUGAGGGAGGUAAGAGUCUCCAGCUUCAGAGAUUUUUGCAGUUUGUUCCAGUCAUUGGCAGCAGAGAACUGGAAGGAGAGGCGGCCAAAGGAAGAAUUGGCAUUGGGGGUGACCAGUGAGAUAUACCUGCUGGAGCGUGUGCUACGGGUGGGUGCUGCAAUCGUGACCAGUGAGCUGAGAUAAGGCGUGGCUGUACCUAGCAGAGACGUGUAGAUGACCUGGAGCCAGUGGGUUUGGUGACGAGUAUGAAGCGAGGGCCAGCCAACGAGAGCAUACAGGUCACAGUGGUGGGUAGUAUAUGGGGCUUUGGUGACAAAACAGAUGGCACUGUGGUAGACUGCAUCCCAGUUUGUUGAGUAGGGUAUUGGAGGCUAUUUUGUAAAUGACCGCCAAAGUCGAGGAUCGGUAGGAUGGUCAGUAUUACAAGGGUAUGUUUGGCAGCAUGAGUGAAGGAUGCUUUGUUGCGAAAUUGGUAGCCGAUUCUAGAUUUAAUUUUGGAUUGGAGAUGUUUAAUGUGAGUCUGGAAGGAGAGUUUACAGUCUAACCAGACACCUAGGUAUUUGUAUUUGUCCACAUAUUCUAAGUUCAGAGUAGUGAUGCUGGACUGGCGGGUGCGGGCAGCGAUCGGUUGAAGAGCAUGCAUUUAGAUUUAAUUGCAUUUAAGAGCAGUUGGAGGCCACGGAAGGAGAGUUGUAUGGCAUUGAAGCUCAUCUGGAGGUUAGUUAACACAGUGUCCAAAGAAGGGCCAGAGGUAUAUAGAACGGUGUCGUCUGCGUAGAGGUGGAUCAAAGAAUCAUCAGCAGCGAGAGCAACCUCAUUGAUGUAUACAGAGAAGAGAGUAGGCCCGAGAAUUGAACCCUGUGGCACCCCCAUAGAGACUCCCAGAGGUCCGGACAACAGUCACUCCGAUUUGACAUACUGAACUCUAUCGGAGAAGUAGUUGGUGAACCAGGCGAGGCAAUCAUCAUACAUAGAUACACAAUUGGUGAAAUCAGGGUGACAAAAAAAUGGUUGAGGUGUGUUCAAAGCCCUCCCUCAAGACUAUAGGAGAUGAACAAUGAAAUAUGUAAGCGGAACAAAAAAUUAUAUCUGAAAGGACUAAUCUCGUUUAUCCCAUUUUUAGUGUGUUGACAACAUGUUUCACUUCACAAACACCCAGUAACAUAUUACAGCCAGUCUAAUAUUUCAAUGAAUUUUGACCUAUGAAAUAUACCUUCAGAUAUUCAUGAAUUUAGAAAAGCCCUUUCUGUGAUUACUGUCCAAACUUAUCAUAACCAUUGUCUUUUUGUUGUUGUUGCCAUUGUAAACAAAUGUCCUGUUCUGCUUGAAAUUGAUCUUCUGAUAUUCAUAUCAUCUCAUUCCUAUCAUAGAAAUAAAGUGGUAUUUAUGUUGUAUGUAAACAAGAUAUAACAGAUGCAGUUGGCACACAAUAAUAAUUAUUGAAAUGUGACUUAAGGGAAGUGAAUGUCUUUUCAGGUAAUGGAUUGCAUUUAAUUUAAUUUCUUCAUUAAUCCGGUACAGAAAACGAACCCAGCAUUUUCUUCAUUCAAAGUAUGAGUAAUAGUGAAUUACAAAACAGUAUAAAUACACCAUUCAGUUACAAUAAGUAUUAGUGCAGUAAGUAGAAGGAAUAACUAUCAAGAUUCUUAAAAUCCUGUUGAUAAUUGGUAGAACAGCUAUCUUUUUUUUACAUUAUCCUCAAGCUGUUCAAUAAAUAGUAUACAGUUCUAAUAAUAAAUAUGAUUACAUUGUUGGUAAGUUUCCCUGUCACAGUGGUGAUCAGUUAUAUCAGUAUUAGUCAAGCAGUUGUGACAACAUAACAAGACAGAUGAGUAGACUUGUCUUGUAGCUUAUUCCACUGGAGGUGGCAGCAUUGUUUAUUGUUGAUUCAACAACAGAUGUUGUUGAAGCAGCUGUGUUUGGUGUAGGACCAGCUGUUGUUGUUGUUGUGGGGGUGGCUGUGGUUGUUGUGGUGGCUGUGGUAGUUGCGGCAACUGUGGUGGCUGCAGAAGUUGUAGUUCCUGUAACACCACAGAGGUUAUCUCAUAAAAAUGUACCCAAUAUAGAGUGCCAUGAGUCAAUGUUGAGAGUGACGACAAGGUCAGCAGUGAUGGCUUAACUUACUUGCAGUAAUGGAGGUUGUAUCAAUGUCGAGGAAGGUGUUCCCGUGAGACAGAGAGUCAUUCAAUCCCUGCUCUACACUCGUUACAUUGGGAACCACUGUCUGGUUCUUGAAAAUAAGGGUCAUGUUGACAAUAAUUGAACCACUCCUGUAAACAAGGAAAUAUAGAAAGAUUUAGUUUUCAUUUCGAGGUCAGAUCUUUUUUUGAUGUUUUUUUUAAACCUUUAUUAACUAGGCAAGUCAGUUAACAAUGACGGCCUAAAACCGUUGUUUCCAUGAAAGUAUUAAGAAAACAAGACAAUGUAUAGUAAUUAUUUGUAUUUGUUUUCUUAAUAUAUUAUUCAAACUUAUAUCACUGUUAUUUCGAGAUAAUUCUAUUUGAAUGGAGAGAUUCAUAGACAUACAGAAAACAAUUAUUGUUACUUACGUGAACUGAAUAAUCCUACACCUUACGUAUGUUAAAGGGUAAAUUAUUUUGUAACCACGAUUCACCUGUAAAAAAAGAAACAAAUUAGCAUCAAUAAUUUCAACAGUGAAGUCAGUGACACAAUGUUAUGGACACAAUGUUGUUAAAAGAUGAGCUGAUUACCUCUGUGGUCACAUUUUCUGCCAGUUCCUGAUAUGCUGUUGUGGAAGAAUCAGUAUAGUCACUUUGGAAUGCACGGAACAUUCUGAAUCCUAAUCCCAUUGACCCCUCAAUCGCUGUCGGUGCCGCUGUUGACUUAGUUGUGGUAGCGGUGGCUGUGGUGGUUGUGGGAACAAUUUUGGUUGUCGUUGGUACAGUGGUGUUUGUGGCAGCAGCUGUGGUUGUCGUCACAGAAGUUGUGGCUGUAGUCGAAGCAGUUGUGGUAUUCGUUCCAGCAGCAGUGGUGGUGGUGGCAGCUAUUGCUGUAGUAGCUCUGGCUGUUGUAGACGCAGCUGUGCCUGUUGUAGUAGCAACUGUGGUAGUCCUGUUGCCAGCUGUGGAUGUGGUGGGGGCAUGUGUGGUUGUAGUUGGAGCAGCUGUUGUUGUAGGGGCAGCAACUGUGGUUGUGGUGGCUGCUGCAGCAGUUGCAGGUGUCAUUGUCAUGGCAGGAACUGUGGUGGUCAUCAUGGAUGUAGUUGAGGAUGUAGUUGGAGCAGCUGUGGUUGUUGAUUGAGCAACUGUGGUAGUUGUGAUGCCUGCUGUGGUGACCGUAGCAGCACCUGUGGUUGUGGUGGCAGCACCUGUGGUUGUUGUGGGAGAAACUGUGGUUGUUGUGACUCCAUUUGUUGUUGUAGUUGGAGCAUCUGUGGUUGUUGUGGUGGCAGCUGUGAUUGGUGUUGCAGCAGUAGCUGUGGUUGUAGUUGGAGCACCAGUGGUUGUUGUGGGAGGAACUAUGGUUGUGACUCCAUUUGUUGUUGUAGUUGGAGCAUCUGUGGUUGUUGUGGCAGCAGCUGUGGUUGUUGUGGGAGAAACUGUGGAUGUUGUGACUCCAUUUGUGGUUGUAGUUGGAGCAUCUGUGGUUGUCAUGACAGGAGCUAUGGAUGUAGUAGGAGCAGUAGGUGUUGUGGUGGCAGCUCCUGCGAUUGUGGUGGUUGCUGCUGUUGUUGUAGUCGAAGAAGCUGUGGUUGUUGUUACCGGAAUUGUGGUAGUCGUCAUGCCAGCUGUGGUGGUCGUGGGGGCAGCUGUGGUUGUGGUUGCAGCACCUGUGGUUGUUGUGAAAGCAGCUGUUGUUGUUGUUGCAGCAACUGAGGUUGUGGUGGCAGCGGCAGCAGUUGCAGGUGUCGUUGUCAUGACAGGAACUGUGGUGGUCACCAUGGAUGUAGUUGAGGAUGGAGUUGGAGCAGCUGUGGUUGUUGAUUGAGCAACUGUGGUAGUUGUGAUGCCUGCUGUGGUGACCUGUGGUUGUGGUGGCAGCACCUGUGGUUGUGGUGGCAGCACCUGUGGUUGUUGUGGGAGAAACUGUGGUUGUUGUGACUCCAUUUGUUGUUGUAGUUGGAGCAUCUGUGGUUGUUGUGGUGGCAGCUGUGAUUGGUGUUGCAGCAGUAGCUGUGGUUGUAGUUGGAGCAGCUGUGGUUGUUGAAUGAGAAUCUGUGGUAGUUGUGAUGCCUGCUGUGGUGACCGUAGCAGGACCUGUGGUUGUAGUGGCAGCACCAGUGGUUGUUGUGGGAGAAACUGUGGAUGUUGUGAGUCCAUUUGUGAUUGUAGUUGGAGCAUCGGUGGUUGUUGUGGCAGCAGCUGUGGUUGUUGUGGGAGAAACUGUGGAUGUUGUGACUCCAUUUGUGGUUGUAGUUGGAGCAUCUGUGGUUGUCAUGACAGGAGCUAUGGAUGUAGUAGGAGCAGUAGGGGUUGUGGUGGCAGCUCCUGUGAUUGUGGUGGUUGCUGCUGUUGUUGUAGUCGAAGCAGCUAUGGCUGUUGUGACCGGAAUUGUGGUAGUCGUCAUGCCAGAUGUGGUGGUCGUGGGGGCAGCUGUGGUUGUGGUUGCAGCACCUGUGGUUGUUGUGAAAGCAGCUGUUGUUGUUGUUGCAGCAACUGUGGUUGUGGUUGCUGCUGCAGCAGUUGCAGGUGUCGUUGUCAUGGCAGGAGCUGUGGUGGUCAUCAUUGACGUAGUUGAGGUUGUAGUUGGAGCAGCUGUGGUUGUUGAAUGAGCAACUGUGUUAGUUGUGAUGCCUGCUGUGGUGAACGUGGCGGCACCUGUGGUUGUGGUGGCAGCACCUGUGAUUGUGGUGGUUGCUGCUGUUGUUGUAGUCGAAGAAGCUGUGGUUGUUGUGACCGGAAUUGUGGUAGUCGUCAUGCCAGCUGUGGUGGUCGUGGGGGCAGCUGUGGUUGUGGUUGCAGCACCUGUGGUUGUUGUGAAAGCAGCUGUUGUUGUUGUGGGAGAAACUGUGGAUGUUGUGACUCCAUUUGUGGUUGUAGUUGGAGCAUCUGUGGUUGUCAUGAUAGGAGCUGUGGUUGUAGUAGGAGCAGUAGUGGUUGUGGUGGCAGCUCCUGUGAUUGUGGUGGUUGCUGCUGUUGUUGUAGUCGAAGAAGCUGUGGUUGUUGUGACCGGAAUUGUGGUAGUCGUCAUGCCAGCUGUGGUGGUCGUGGGGGCAGCUGUGGUUGUGGUUGCAGCACCUGUGGUUGUUGUGAAAGCAGCUGUUGUUGUUGUGGGAGAAACUGUGGAUGUUGUGACUCCAUUUGUGGUUGUAGUUGGAGCAUCUGUGGUUGUCAUGAUAGGAGCUAUGGAUGUAGUAGGAGCUGUAGGGGUUGUGGUGGCUCCUGUGAUUGUGGUGGUUGCAGCUGUGGUGGUCGUGGGGGCAGCUGUGGUUGUGGUUGCAGCACCUGUGGUUGUUGUGGCAGCAGCUGUGGUUGUGGGGGCAUUCAUUGUUGGGCUUUGGGCAUUCCCUGAUGCUGUUGCAAAUAAAAAAGCAUAGAUUUUAGAAUAUCUUUUAGAAUUUCAUAAUGAUCUACAAUUUAAAGACUAGAGAAUGAACUUACCUAUAAUCAUAAGAAGGACUAUGAGAAUUUUUCUGUUCAUCUUUGAAACUGUUUUCUUUUUAGUCUGUGGUCACAGAGAGAUGGGCACACAUGAUUCAUUUAAAGGCAAAAGACAAACAUUUAUCAACAGAAUGACUUUGACCAAUGCAAUAUAAACUUGAAUAUUGUGGAAAGAGAUCGCUAAUGGUGAAUGCAGUAAUUUUGUCUGUUUAUGUACAGUAAGUCUUGUCUGUGAUGUUUUUAAACAAGUGAUCCACAACUUCUUUGUCUUGAUAUUUAAUAUUUUAUUAAUUCACAUUUGUAUUUUUUACUUUUAUUUAUUAUUUUAACCAUGAUUUAUUUAUCCAGGAAGUCCUGUUAAGGUCAGAAGGCGUAUUUUAUUUAUUUAGACCUGGCUAAGAGGUCAGCUGAAUUAAAACACAUAGAUACGCUACAGUGCAUGUGUUAUUGUAUAAUCCGUACAUGUAUAGACUUACCACUAAAUCUGUAGAUUUACAAAUGAGAAUGUAAUCCUUCGAUUUAGUGUUUUUACACAUUUACCAUAACACAUACACAGCAGAGCAAAAACAUGAAUAUGAAUGACUGUAAUUACCCACCAUCAAUCAUAAAACACAUGUAGUCAUUAAGAAUUGAAACAUUUGCACACCUCCUGCAGCAAGUCUGAAACUAUAGCCUUGAAUUCCUCUAUCAGGACAAAGCACUCUAGGUUAAAGAAGAUGAUUCCUGGACCAAGGGGUCAGAUAUUCUGAUCAGACCCUUGGUAACUGGAAUAAGAAUUUCACUAGAGAUGAUUUGAGAUGAUAAAAUGAAUCCAUGGCUGAACAAGGACAAGGAACAGCGGUAUAGAGUGAGUUUACGAGUUAUAGCCUUGUCAGUUAACAUACACAAAUGUUUCUUCCAAAAGUUCACUUUUA